AUUUUUCUCAAAAUUUAUGACUAGCAUAUAUGUAUGUGUAACAAUGAGCCAUCAUGCUUUGGAGUACUUAUGUCUUUCUUUCAUCAGUUUGCUAAAUACAUUCCGUUUUAACAUAAAAACAAGUUCUAUAGCAACUUUCUAGGUCAAUACAUUACAAUAUAAACAAAGCAAAGAGAGUGUGUUCUCACUUUCGCCUCAUACCCAA
rnacentral:lncRNA from 1 species